UUUAAAGUUGGGAGCCUCAUUUCUACAUUCUUUCUGAGGCCAACAAAUGAAAAAAGAUGAGUAAGCUCGAGAAAGUGGCCCGAAUGAUAACCAUUCAAGAAGAGAACCUUACCAUGAUUGCGGGCCUCGACGCUUGGGUUAUAGCUGCAACAUCAAAAAAACUUUAGAUAAGGAAAAAAGAUAAGAGGUAAAACAAUAGAAUUGGAGAAACAAAAUACUACUCAUGGUUCAUGUUCCAUUUCUCCAGAAAUGGCAUGUCUUCAACAAGGAUCAGGUCCGAAGUUCUUACUCGGACAAAUGAGCCCAUCCAACCUUAGUUGUGAGACUCAUCUAUGCUCAAGAAUGGGGCCUUGAUGGCUCGACAAUCAAUCUUGAUCAGCCCUCCUCGAUAAAGUAGGGGACUGUAAAGGCGCAUAAGGAUCGGUGUGAAAGGACAUCCCUCGAUUUUUCUUGUGAAGAAACAGAGGAGAAUAACUAUUCUCCAGAAUGAAGGUUAGAUUUGGCUGAGAGUGACAUUGUACCUCUUGCAAAAGGAAAUGAUGAUGGGGUCUAAGGGACCUAUCAUGAAGGGGAAAGUGUAAACGCUUAGAUACGCCUCCACGUAAGUGGUGUUCGAUUCCUCAGGAGAAGGAACUACAACAUCCUGUUCACCGAGUUACACUCUAAUCUUUUCGAGGAUGUCUUCGGUUAUCGUGCAUAUGUAUCUCGAGACCGGUUCACACCGAUCGGGUACUGAAGAGGAGUAUUCAAUCCCAAAAUCAGCGACAGUAGGGCACCCUCCUGGAACAAAAUCCUCAAGAGGGGUUCCGCCUUAGCUCCGUCAUCGACGGGCCGUGAAGAGGAGACAGUCUCCUUUUGCGGUACGGUUUUAGAAGUUUUUGCCAUUGUAAAAUAAAAGGGAAGGAAAUUAGAAUGAUGUGUGAUUUUCUUGAGAUUCAUGAAAUUUGGGAGCAAGAGUUGCAGAGCAAAGAGGUUUUUUGAAGAGAAGCAGCAAUGAAGGAAAUUUUGAACGUAAAGGUUUAAGGGGAAGAAGGUGGUGGUACUUAUAAUUUGUUGGUGGCGGUUCAGAUCCUUGGUUACCGACCAUCAACUGACAGGCAUUUAAUGCCUUGGUAACCAAACCGACGGGACAUUUCAGUACCCACUUGUCGUUGAUGUCAUAAUCGGGCUCAUCGCUUAUGUCACGGCACAUCGAAACGGGAUAGGAAAAAUUCACGUCAUUUCUCAUUUUCCUCUCUUUGAGAAAAGAGAGGACUAUGUGUAUAUAGUCAAAACUGAGCUUGCCCUUUUUAUAUGAUUAAUCGAGACCGGGAUGUGGCAGGCCAAAGUUCGAUCCCAUGUCAUACGCACCGUGAUGCGAUAUUAGAUUGCAUAGUUCAUGACCCAGAGACCGAUCGAGAUCAAGAUCAGCUAAGAUAAAGAACGAGUGGGAUAGAGAUCGAGCAAGAUCGAGGAAAUCCUACCGAACCAAAUAACCGAAAGCCAAAAUAUCCGCGAUUGGGCCAGUAUCACAAUGAAGAUCUCGACACGUAUGAAGAAGAUACCGAUUAAUUAGCUAAUCAUGAGAUUUCUUAUUACAUUUAGGAUUGUAUUAAGGGUAGGACUACCCUACUAUAUAAAGGGGGUUUGAUCAUUUGUAAAACACCAUCAUAUUCACAUAAUACAAAGCAAUAUACUGCCAUUAUCUAGUAAUCAUUGUCUUGCUAUUCUGUUCUUAAGCAAGUUGAUACAUAUUUGGUUCAAGGGUGAUCGAACUCGAGGGCCAAGGCUGUUUAAUUUGUUUGGUUUGCAUUUAUUCUUUAAUAUUCUAUUUCAGUACUAAUUUAUUCUUCCUAAUUUGUACCAAGGUAUAUCACACAUCCUUAAAACCACAUAUAAAUUCAACUGUUAUCCGAUUUUAGGGUAAAUAAUAAUAUAGUAAAAUUUUAGGUGAAGUAAAAAUAAUCAUUGCCUAGGAAGUGAGUGAACAUUUAUAUAUUUACAUCCGUUUCAGAUCAUCUUGCUGGCAAUAAUAUAAUUUCCAUGAAAAAAUCAAAAUAAGAACAAAUUAAACUUGCGCACCCUAAUCAAGCUUAUUUUAAAAAGGAUUGAAGCGGUACACAUGAGAGUGCAAUGACUCUUUUACAUGAUAAGUAUGAUUUAACAUUGUGUACGGGUAAAAUUGGGGGCAAGGUUUCUCUGAUUCUCUUAUAAGAAAAUGAUAGGGAAGCACCAUUCGACGCAACUACAGGCAAGGCCGAAGGAUCCCUAAUAUCGAAACUUGGGAUGAGUGAACGAUGUAUCAAGGAUUGGGCAUGACAAAAUAACGGAUCUGGACUGAGUAAAAUUUUGAGACCACAAAAAGGGAGGAAUGGUUGGUCGUGACAAGUAGGGAGUCGUAAUAUCGGGUUUGUGAGUAAAUUCACUAAUUUCAAGUGCCCAUUUGGCCAACCGACCCGUCAACUCGAGUUUGUGAAGGACAUUCUGUAGGGGAAAGGUUUUCACAAUGGAUAUCAGGUGACACUGAAAAAUAAGGCAUAAGCUUUCAAAAGGCGACUAUGAGAGCUAAGUUCAGUUUUUCGAGAUGCGGAUAACGAGUUUCCGCUUCUAAAAUAAUCUUGCUAACAUAAUAGACAGGAGAUUGCAUUCCUUUGUCCUCCCAGACUAGAAUGACACUUACUACUACCUCCGAGAUCGCUAAGUAUAUUACCAAUUGUUUGCCUUCCUCCGACUUUGGUAGCAGCGGAGGGCUUGAUAGAUAACAUUUCAGGUCUUUUAAGGCCUGUUGGAAUUUUGGAGUCCAUUUGAAGUUGUUCUUCUUCUUAAUAAAUGAGAAGAAUUGAUGACAUUUUUUUGAAUAUCGAGAAAUGAAGUUUCUUAGAGCGACCAAUCUCCCUGUUAGCCUUUGUACUUCUUUCACGCUUGUCAGCUUGUCUGGGAUGUCCUCGAUGGAUUUGAUCUUAUAGGGAUUUACCUUGCUCCCUAUUUGUGACACCAGAAAACUCAAGAACAUACCAGAGAUAACCCCGAACGCGCAAUUUUUGGGGUUGAGUUUCAUGUUGUACUUCCUUAGAAUAUCGAAGGUUUCCUGGAGAUGUUUUAAAUUGUCGACUGCAUUCAAAGACUUGACCAACAUAUCAUCUAUGUACACUAUCGUUGUUUUACCUAUUUGUUUCUCGAACAUCUUUUUCACGAGCCUCUGAUAAGUGGCUCUAGCAUUUAUAAGCCCCAAAGGGCAUCACAUUAUAACAAUAUGUGCCAAAGUUCGUUAUGAACGAAUUUUUUUUUCUGAUCCUCCACGUUUAUCUUAAUUUGAUUGUACCCUGAAUAGGCAUCAAGAAAACUCAUUAACUCGUGCCCCACCAUGGCGUCAAUCAUCUGAUCGAUGUUCUCCAGUGGGAACGAGUCUUUCAGGCACGCCUUAUUCAAGUCUUUAUAAUCUACGCACAUUCGAAAUUAUUAUUCUUUUAAGAACUACAACUACAUUAGCUAGACAGAUGAGAUACUUUACCGCUCGGAUUGAACUGAUAUCAAGUAACAUGUUUCUAUCGUCAGCUAUUGGGCGCUUCUUCUGCUUGGGUCCAAGCUUAUCUUGUGCAUGACCACCUUUAACGGGAUGCUUGUCAUAUCCGCGUACGACCACACGAAACAAUUAAUGUUAGUUUUAAGAAAAUCAAUAAAUCUUGACCUAAGGUCGGGGUUGAGUCCUAUCCCCAUGUGAAAUUUCUCUACAGGAAUUUUCGAACAAAGCCACUUGUUCGAGUUCUUCUUGACGUAGACUUUGGUUGUAUCAGUUUCUUCCGAUACAUGAAAAUAUCUUGGUACCUGUUAGAGUUCUGACAACUCCUCCCUUUUGUCAUCUUCACUUGGUUCAGGAGUAGGCGUCAUUUCCUGUAAUUGCUAUGUGUUGAGUUCCUUCCCUUUACUGCUAGAAACCUAUAUCGCGUUCAUUUCCAUUGUUGUCAAUGGAUCUUCUCUUAUUUAUUUUAUUCCCUUUGGAUUCAAGAAUUUUAGCAGUUGGUGAUAUAUUGAUGGUAUGUCCUUCAUCUCAUGUAACCAUGGUCUACCAAGAGUUAAGUUGUAGCCCAUGUCACCGUCUACCACUUCAAAUAAGGUGGUCUUCAUGACCCUUUCGAUAUUCGUGGGCACCAAGAUCUACCCCUAGGUUGUCAUACUCGCUAAGUUGAUCCCGGCUAGGAGAAUUGUUGCCAGAAGAUGCUUCCGGAUUGUCACGACCCAAUUCCCAUUAUAGGUCGUGAUGAUGCCUAACGUCGCUAAUAGGCAAGCCAAUGGUGAACUAUCCAUAUAAUUGUCCUUUUUAAUGUUUUUAAAGUAUUUGAUUAUAUUUAAUAAGAGAAUGAUUAAUAGGUAAUUAUAGUAAAGUAAAGCAUAAAAUAACGGAAGAGUAAUAUAGUGAAUUUAAUACUCAAACCAUAAAAUGUCUACUAGAAUAUUUCCAAAAUCUGGUGUCACGAGUGCAUGAGAAAACUAGUAAAAUACAAAAAAUCUCCUAUACUGUCUAGAGUAAGAUAGACAGAAAAUAAAUACAACAAGGAGAUACUCCGAGCAUUACAGAAUGGGCAUAGUGAGUAGCUUACCACUAAGUCUCUGGUAGCGGGGUACACACCUGAAUGAGCACCAAAUGCACCUACCUCAGAUCCUACACGAUUAGUGCAGAAGUGUAGCAUGAGUACAUAAACUACAUGUACCCAGUAAGUAUUUAGUCUAACCUCGAAGAAGUACUAAUGAGGGGUUGACAUCGACACUUACUAAGGGUCAAUAAAUAAAAUGCAUAAAGUAUAAAUAGGCAGGAAAUACAUCAAUAAUAAUGAAUUAAUAAAAAAUAAAUAAGUGGUUCUUUAACUAAAUAUCCAUUAGAGUCUCGAACUAUCACAUACUAAUCCAACAAAGAAAAGCCAUCGAGUAAUUAUAAAUUCUCAAGUCAUGCAAGAAAUAUCAAGUAUAAUCGGACUCUGAACAUUAUCAUGCAGAGUUUGUACGCCCUAAUCCAGAAUAAUGUGUACAAUGCCGAGGGUCGAUCGACGCAAACCAUUGAUGCAUCUAUUAUACUGACGAGGAAUUCGUGUCAUGACCCAAAUCGAUGGGCCGCAAUAGGUACCUGGUGCCUUGCCCAACUGAGUACCAAUGUAAUGUAUCUUUCUUAUCAUACCAUCAUGGGUAAAUGAGCAGAAGGGCUAUUAUGAGAUCAUGAGAAUAAAACAUAAGGGAAUAAUCAACAUAGAACAACCCAACAUGAUAUACUAUAACGACGCGAACGAUCACUUUGAGAAUUAGCAUCUUGUUCGGUGGCUUAAGGUCUUGAGCAGCUUUGCAUUAUGUGUUAUGACUUGCAGGCUGGUCGAGUUUGGAUUUCAGAUGAUUCGCGGUCAAUUUUGAAGAAGGAAUCUAGUUUUAGAAGUUUAAGAGGUAAGAGUUGACCGUAGUUUUGCUUUUGUGUAAACGACUCCGAAAUGGCAUUUUCUUGAUUCUAAUAUCUUGGUAUGGUGAUUUUUUACUCAGGCAUGCAUCCAGAUUCGGGCUUGGAGGUCUUUAAGAUAUUUUGAAGCAUUUUGGUGAAAAUUGGAAAAGUUUUGGAAGGUCAAGAGGUUUGAUCGGGAGUUGACUUGGUUGAUAUCGGAAUUAGAUUGGAAUUUCUAUAGAUGGAUUAGUUCCUUUACGUCAUUUGGGACUUGCAUGAAAACUUUGAUGGUAUUCCAGGUUGAUUUAAUAUGUUUCGACACUAGUUUUGGUUGUUGGAAGAUUUGAAAAUUUAUAAGUUUGAUCUGUGGUGCAAUUCAUAGUUACGAUGUUGUUUGAUGUUAUUUGAGGUCUUGAAUAGGUCCACAUUAUGUUGUAGGACUCGUUGGUAUAUUUGACGGGGUCUUGAGUGGCUCAGAUGGGUUCGUACGAGUUUCAGGUCAUGUUUGGUCAUGAUGGCAAGUCUGUUUCUGGUUGCACCUGUGUAUUUCUUGAGCGCAGGUGCGAAGUUGCUUCUGGAAAAUGGGUCUCUUCUACAAUAUUUGGCAGGAGUUCAGCUUCUGUGGAAUAGAGAACGUAUUUACAUGGACACAUAUGCGGUGAGCCCAUCGUAGAUACGAGUUUGAGGCUCCAGUUGGUCGUCCGCUUCUGCGGUUUAUUUGGUGCUUCUGCGGCAUUGCAGGUGCGAUGGGAUGCUCGCAGAUGUGAAGAAUGGACUGCUAAGUAAGGGCCGUAGAUGCAAGAUUGUUCUUGCAAAAGCUUGAUCGCAUGAGAGAAAAACAUUGGUCCGCAAAUGCGGAAAAUGCUAGGGAGAAAGGUUAUAUUCGAGGGUUUGUUAUUUUUACCAUAUUUUGAGUUGUAGACUUCGAAUUUGGGCGAUUAUUGAGGGGAUCUUCACGUGGUUGUUUGGGGUAAGUUAUAUUUACCCAGAUUUUAUUUCAUGAUUUAAUGACAUGGGAAUUCAAGAACAUAGGCACCUCUAAUACUUCUAUGGAUAGAGUCAUUUAUGAAAGUUUUGCACUUGGUCAUUUCGUUUGUAUCAUAUGGAUCAUGCCAAAAGGAAAUAAGGGAUAGCCUUAACAUACCUGAGUCAAUUCUCUUGACAAUACCUCUAACACAAAUUGAUUGCAACAAAAAAUGUAGCGGCAGAUCGAAGUAUGGGAAAAUCCAUAUGAUAUUCUUUGAGAAAGAUUGCACUGUACUCCCUUAAAAUUACAAAAUCUCACGUUGUUAAGACACAAUCUCAUAUGAAUUUUUAAAGUAAGUCAUGUUACUAUCACAUAAAUUCUUAUAUGAACUUGCCGAAGCCUCUUACAUCGCCUUAGAGAUAUACAAAGUGAGUUUAGAGAGGUUUUUAAGCCUUUAGGUGUGGGCCCCACAUGGUAUGAUGAUUUGGCCACAAAACUCUCUUAAAAAGUACCACCUUGUUAAGAAAUUUAAGAGUCACAAUUUGGGUCUUUGAUCCUUGUUCCAAGUGCUUCCACAUUGGGCUUAUCCACUCCCAACAAUUAACCACCAACAUCUUAAUUAAUUGUUAGUCCCCCACUAAAAUCACUAAUUACCCGAUUAUUCACAUAAUUAAUUGUAUACUGUGAAAUCGAAGGGUCCAAUUCCUUGCCAUCGAGGCACCUCAGAAGAUCAUCUCGAAGCCUCGAGGUUACAAGGCUAUGAUCAAGUUUUCUCCCUCGAGGUUCAUCGACGCCUGACCAUGGGAUAAUGUCGACCACAACUAUGGUAGAAAUGGGGAGUUCCCAAGGUACAUGGCUAAGACUGACAGAGCCUAGUGGACUACCCUAACCCUGAAUUAGGGUCUCAUUUAGCUGUCCCAUCCCCUUAUCUCUGUAAUUAAUGCAUUUUGUACUAUGUUGGGAUUCCGUUCAUAUAUAAAGGGGAUCCUUAUCAUUUUAGCGAGGCUUGUUGCUUCAGUUGCUCAAUACGAAAUAAACAAGAACAUUCUCUUCGCUCUCUAACACAUUCUCUUGAUAUUGUUUCUUCCAUUUAUUAUUUUCAUUAUUGCUCUUUAUCUAUUGAUUAUCAUUGGCUAUAAAGAGCCUUUGUUGAUUUUAUUAUAAUUGUUAGACAUACUUCGAUCACCUUCGAUAGCUCACAGCCGGGCUCCGGAAUUGACCUCGAGGCCCCUGAAUCGACAAGCUCGAGGCCGGGAUUGUUAACCUAUCGAACUGAUUGUCACCUUACUCCUUACUCUUAUCUCGUUUCUAAACCUCACAUUUAGCAUCAACUGCUUAACAACUAGCAUAAAAAUAGAUCACGUAUUUUUAGAGUCCCAUAAUCAAAUUUAAUGGUUAUUACCAUUUUCAUGAUAAACAGUUUGGUGCCCACCGAGGGGUUAAAAAUAAUAGUGAUUAUUUUCUUGCUGGUUUUACUACAUAAUGCAAGUUAUCUUUCACGCUUUCUCUUGUCCAAGGUCUUCGAUUUCAGGCCGAAAUGUCUAAUUCAGUGAAUGGAGGUGAAAACAACAACCUUGAGGACCACGGAGAAAACGGUGGGGCCAUUCCAGGUGUUGGUAUGCCACCAGAACCAAUACCCAUGGACGCGGUCUCACGCAACACGCAACACAUCGACAUAAGCUCCCACAUUGACAGGAGCGUGCACCAAAGGGAUCAACAAGAGGCUUAGAAAACCCCAACUAAGGAAGAACAAGAGCUUAGCCUUCAUGCUAUUUUUGAAAUGUUGCAGGCACAACAGCUGGCUAUUGCUCAGCUGCAAAGUCACCAGAAAACUCUUAGCACAGUAGCACCGGGGAUAGCUCCCCCAGCUGAACAGGUACCAGAGAGAUCAAGCAAUAACGGGUCGAUGACCGAUCCCGUUAUCGUAAAUAUGCUCGAGGAGCUCACUAGAAGGAUCGAAUCGGGCAAGAAAAUGAUAGAAGCCAACGAUAAAAAGGUCGAGACCUACAACUCCAAGGUCGACAAAAUUCCCGGCGCACCCCCGAUCCUGAAAGGUAUGGAUUCGAAGAAGUUCAUAGAAAGGCUGUUCCCAGAGGAAGCGGCUUCGAAUCCCAUUCCAAAGAAGUUCAGAAUGAUAGACCUCCCAAAAUAUAAUGCAACCUCAGAUCCAAACGAGCACGUUACUGUUUACACUUGCGCAGUGAAGGGCAACGAGAUAAAGGACAACGAGAUCGAGUCCGUCUUACAAAAGAACUUUGGAGAGAUGCUCUCGAAGGGGUCCAUGAUGUGUUAUCACAACCUAGCUCCUAACUCCAUAGACUCAUUCGCCAUGCUGGCACUCUCCUUCACAAAGGCACAUGUCGGUGCCAUCAAAGUGGCAACAAGUAAAUCUAACAUGUUCAAGAUCAAGCAGAGGGAGAAUGAAAUGCUGCGAGAAUUCGUAUCUCGUUUUCAAAUGGAACGGAUGGAACUACCACCAGUCUCUAACAACUGGGCAGUGCAGGCCUUUACUCUAGGUCUGAAUGAAUGAAGCUCGGUGGCUUCAAAGCAGUUGUAACAGAAUUUGGUCGAGUACCCCGCUGUGACCUGCUUGGAUGUCCACAACUGAUACCAGUCGAAGAUCAGGGUCGAAGACGACUAGCUAGGAGCCCCCUCGGGCUUAGUAUAACCAAGUAGGCUUCUAGCGAACGAGCCAAAGCCAAACAAAUAAAGAUACCAUCUAUACGCCGAAGACAGAAUGAACGCCCCGAGGCGCAACUCACCUCGCAACGAUCGAACGAUAGACCGAGGACAGAAUCCUUAGGGACUCACCAACAGAACCGGAUUCGACAGGAAUGCAGGGCCAACGGAGGCACCUCACUUAUCAGAAUACAACUUCAACAUUGAUGUAUCGGACAUCAUGUUCACUAUCAGUAAAAUAAGAAGCCAAGUGGCCCAAGCCUGUACAUUCAGAUCCUUCACAAAGGAAUCAUAACUUAGUGUGUGCAUUUCACAACACACACGGCCAGAGGACCGAGGAUUUCCACCAACUCCAAGAAGAGGUAGCUGGAUACUUAACAAAGGUCACCUCCGAGAAUUCCUCAGCGACGGAGCCAAAAAUCAGUUCUGGGAAAGAGAGGCGGCUAAGAAGAAAGAAACGAAUGAGCCGCAACAUGUCAUCCAUAUGAUCUUGGGAGGCAUCGAUGUCCCACAAGAACCCGUGAUGAGAAGGACAAAAAUAUACAUCACUAGAGAAAAGCAAACCUGGGGGUAUAUACCCGAGGAUGCCCUCACUUUCAGCAAAGAAGACACUGAGACCUUGUCUCAACCCCACAAAGACGCAUUGGUAAUCUCUUUCCUCGUAAAUACAUUUCAAAUAAAAUGUGUACUCGUGGAUCCAGGUAGCUCGACCAAUAUUAUCAGGUCGAGGGUAAUAGAGCAUCUCGGACUGGUUAACCAAAUCGUGCCCGCCACUCGAGUCCUCAACGAAUUCAACAUGGCAAGUAAAACAACGAAAUGAGAAAUCACUCUCCCAGUCAACGUGGACGACACAACCCAGAAUGUCAAAUUUCAUGCCAUCGAAAGAGAUAUGAGGUACAACGCCUUGUUCGGGAGGCCGUGGAUACACUGCAUGAGAGCAGUACCAUCCACCCUCGACCAAAUAAUGAUAUUCCCGACAAAGGAUGGGAUUAAAAGCAUCUACGGGGAGCAACACACGGCGAGAGAACGGUGUACGAUGUGGGGCCAACACCGAUACCUCCACCCGCAAAGGAGCCAAAGGGUAAUCAAGUUACAUCUUCGGUUAAGCCUAAUUAAACAAAACAAAGGAUCGUACUGCAUCCUCGUCACAACCUACUGAGAGAUAUCAGACCCCGAAACAUCGCUGGCAUAUCCCACACUAAGGUAUAACCAUCUCCCUUUUUAUUAUUUAUUUCAUACUAACCCUUAUGCAGGCGCCCAACCGAAGCAGUCAAAGCGCUAACCCAACCCGAAGAUCUUAAGGUUUUAAAGCAUCCGUUGCACUCUUUUCCUUCGACCGAGUUUUUUAUCUCGAAAAGGGUUUUACCGGCAAGGUUUUUAAUGAGGCAACCUUCACAUUCUACCUAAGCACGACUCGACAAGAAUUCAAGGCUUCUUUUGCAACCAACCCCGAAUACUGGGGUGCAUCCCCUCUGAAGGCCAUCCGCUCGAAAAAGGCAAGGAUUGCCAAAUGGGGUCCCAAUAGGAAAAUGAUGUACCGGGCCAUACAGACAAACGAACCGUGUCCGUAUUGCUGGGCCUCGACGGCAAAAACAUGUACACUUGAACAAAGUAACUGAAGAAUAUCUUUUAUCAAAGCAUCUCACACUCCAAAGAAGCUCGGCACCUCGGCACCUUCGCAAAAAUGACUCCCCUGCCGAAAACGUCUUGAACACUCGGGGACUAGCGUCAACAAUUCAAUACCUGAACGACCUCCGGGUCAGGACUCCAAACUCUUAAUCCCUCAAUGAGGCAACAUGAAAAUCACGAAACAUCUCCAAAGGCUGAAAACGCCCCGAACACUUGGGGACUGGUGUCAAAAUCUCAAAAAUGCACGACAUCAAGGUCGGAACCUCCGAAAUUGUAAGCCCUCAAUAAGGCAAUUCAAAGUUUACAAGUAACGACUUCCGAACCAAGAUACCCUCGAUGACUCGGGGACUGUCGCCAAUCACCAUUCAUUAAGAAACCCGAGGCCAUAAGACCCCGAGCGAGCAGACUGGGUCUCGUAAGACCUAUAUAAGGCAGCAACAAUAUCUAUAAGACCUCAAGCAAGGCAUGAACAAUACUUGUACUAAGUAUCUAAAACUGUAAGACCUCAAAGGCAUAUGAAACUUGUAAAAUCUUACUAAAGGCAUAAACCCGAUCUCAAAUUGUCCUCUAUAUAUCGAACUUGUAAGACCCCUAAAAAGGCAUACCCUCGAUAUAGAAGCCGAAAUUACUUCACUCGGGACUUAAAAGCUCCGUCCGAACACAAAUGACUCCAGUCACAAGGUUGUACCAGCCAAACUAACGUGACUCGGGGACGCCCGACCGUCGCUACAAAAUCACAAGCCUUCAAUUAAUUUGAAUCUACUUCAAAAUAAACCGGUUAAAUAGGUUACCCUCGACAUAGGCAAAAGAGCUUCGACCACGUCAGCUCCAAAUCACAUGCUUUGAGAUACUCAGCCUCCGAUCCAAACCUCAUGAGUUGCUCGAUUAUCGCCUCAUAACGACUCAUAAUUGAGGUUUUUAUCGAACUGUCGAAGAGUCAGGCAAAAAAUUAUUUCAAAAAGUCCUUAACGAGGGAAAAAUAAAGUCAAUAAAAGGUCUCUUCAACCUAAGGCGUAAGAGCCAUUGUUGCCAGCCCACACUAAAAGGUUGCUUCGACCCAAGGCGCAAGAGCCAUUGUCUCCAGCCCACACUAAAAGGUCGUAUCGGCCCAAGGCAUAAGAGCCAUUAUCGUCAGCCCGCACAAAUACAAAACUUCAGGGUCGAAUGAGCUCGAGUUGAAACUCGAUUCGGAGACUGAACCCAAAAUAGUUAACUAUAUAUGUCUAAAGGCAAGGCGUAAGAGCCAUUGUUGCUAUCCCACAUAAAAGGUCGCAUCGACCAAGCGUGUAAGAGCCUGCGGGCCAGCCUAAUGAGCCCCAGGGCCAUAUCAUGACUCUAAGGAUUCCUACAAACUCAAAGACUAGUUCACCUGGCCAAAUUCAAGACANNNNNNNNNNNNNNNNNNNNAGACAGAAAGAGAUACAAAAGAAAUAAAGCUGCAAGGUUUUCUUUUAUACACAUAUGCGAAAAAAUGCAAUCUCCAUCUACAAACAUGCUUUGAAAAUAUACAGAUGGGGAAAUCUACGCCCUUGGGAGAAGGCCUCGUUUUUGCCUUCUUCGGCGUCAGACAAAAGUAACCGAGCAUCACGCUCGUCUGCCCUCGCUCGCGCCAACUCUUCUGAAAGGGCGAAACCCCCAGCACGGAUCUCCUCGAGGGUCUUUCUUUGAGACUUAUAACGAACAUAUUCUUCAAUCAUCUCUUUGCGGUCGAGGAUAUUUCUUAGCUCAGCUUGAGUAUCGGUAGCUUCCUUUAAAUAGAUUGUCAUCUCCUGGUCAGCCUUAGUUCGGCUUAUUACAGCUUCAGCCUGGGCAUCAACGAUCUCAGCCCUGACCUUCGAAAGCUCGAACUGAAGCUUUUUAAUCAUAUCAGUUUGAACUGAGCGUUGUCAGGAGCCAAGCAAAGUUGAGCCUCAAAAGCAGGAACUUUAGCCAGAGCACCCUUCCCCUCUAAAGCUUGAGCCUCCGCCCGAGCUUUUAGCUUAUCAUGCUCACGCCUGGCUCAGCCAGCUUCAUCCCAAAGGUGCUCCAUGGCCUCCAUCUUUUUUUACAACUGAAAUAAAUGAAGUGUUAGCCUCAGAAGCUAGAAGGAAGAAUGCACGCUCACCCAGGACAGAAAAUUACCUGCUCCUUCAAGUAGUUCUUAUAAUUCAAGCUCCGGCUCAGCAAAUACCGCAAGUGCACCAACUCGACUUCCUUUUCAUCACAAAGGAGCCUAAGGGAUCUCUCCUCAUCCAGAGCUUUCCACAGCCUGGCUUCACAACGAAGUAGCCCAGACUUAAGCUUGUCGAAGGCCUGCAAAAAAAACCCAAUUAGGGAGGGAAGGCGCGAAGCUCAAAAGGCUUGUGCCGAAACUCACCAUGAAGUGAAGUCGUUGGGCUUCCUCGAAUGCCGAGCGCACAUCUGCCAACCUAGUUACCCCAGCUCUGAAAGGAUCAACUCCGGCCGAGGCACAGUCGCUCGGUGUAUGCGACCCCCGGUUCCUAGUAUCCCUCGAAGUACUGUCGACGGAAAAAGAGGGCGACAGCGGUGGGGAAACCAUCUUUCUAGAAUCAGGAACCACGGACGCGGCAGGAUCGGAUGAUGCUCCCACUCCGGAGCCCCGGUCCCAUUUCGCCUUGCUUUGAGCGCCAUCGCCCUGUAAAACCAUCUCUCGCUUAUUGUUGUAGUUCUUUAGCCCGAAAGCUGGCAACCCUUCCCCCUCUCCAGAAGAGUGUUUCCUCUCCUCGAGAGGCUCCCCGAUGCCUACAAUAGCAAGAUUAAUACGCAUAAAGGGAAAAUGCAACUACAAAUGAAGGAAGGGAAAAGAAAAAAUAGCACAAAACGCACCAUGAUGUUUUGCUUCCCUUCUGCCCCGGGACAAAGCUCGCCACUUGCGCUCAUAAUAGGUCGAGUUGGUUGCCAACUUCCGCACCCAAUCUGGUAGAUCAGGAACAUCGCCCGGCACCUAUGAAACCAGUGCAGAAAAAAAAGGCACGGUUACGAAACCAGCUUUCGCCAUGGACAAAACUGAGAAGGCACAAAAUGCACCACUUAUGUGUAUAGUUCCAUUCAUCAGGGAAUGGCAUAAGCUCCAUAGGGAUAAUGUCAGUGGUACGAACUCGGACGAAGCGAUUCACCCACUCCCAGUUUUCAUCUUCCUCAUCAUCAACAAUGAAGGGCGUGGUCGAUCGGCAUCGCAAGGUUAGCAGACCUCGAUUGUGAAAGAGGUACAGCCUAAUAAGAUGAUUGAGCGUAAGUUCAAGCCCCGUCUUCUCCGCGAAAAAUCUCAUCAUCAACAGUAUUCGCCAAAAUGAUAGAUGGAUUUGAGCCAAGGUAACCUGAUACUUUAAACAGAAGUCAAGCACAACCCUAUCAAGGGGUCCCAGUGUGAAAGGAUACGUGUACACAUUCAAAAACCCAGCGGUGCGAUCCGUGAUGCCCUAAUCUGGGGAAAAUGUCUGUAACACUACUUCUCCCCCCAUCUGCAGUCUUUUCUCACUAACUUAAGGUGCUUUUCUCCUAUCAAAGAAGUAGUCUUCAAGGCAUACUCUCGUUGGUCCUGAAUGCUGGAGGCGGGACUCUCCCAUCUCUGCCGGACAGACCCCGACGUAGCAACCAUGGCUAUGGCAAAAUUAAGAGAACUAAAGCAGGAAUCUGUGCGAGUGCGUUAGUACUGAAGUAAUGAAAGACUUAACGCAGAAAAGGAAGGGUAAUUACUUAGAAUGGUAGGAUCUCCAAAAAAGCAGAAACAACCCUAUAUAUGGAAAGAACAACAUCAUUGCAAGUCCCAAGGUGGUACCAGACCUCGAGGACGUCCACCAAAAAUAAGUUAGGCUCUAAAAAGGCCAACAACAUCAUCGCCAGUCCCAAGGUUGUACCCGAUCAUUUAUAUUAAAUUCAGAGUUAUCACUUGGGAUAAUUUAUGGUGUUCCAAGUCACCGGUUUAAAAUCCCGAAUCAAGGAAGUUGACUCUAUUUACGGUCCGCGAACACAGAAAUUCGGGUAAAGAAUUUUGUUAACGCGGGAGAAGGUGUUAGGCAUACCCGAGUUCCGUGGUUCUAGCACGGUCACUUUGAUCAUACUUGGCUUAUUAAAAUUGUUUAGCUACUAAUUUUAGAACCUGUGUGUGUUUGCCUUUUUUAAUUAAGAAAUUAUCUUUAAACAGGUCACGCGUACGUGUAACCAUUUGUUUGGUGCGUCAAAAAUCAUGCCAUGCGAACUUGUCCAUAAUUAAUAACGCUUUAUUAUUAUUAAAAAAGUUUGGCCAAAGUUGCAUGAACGGAUACUCCGGUUUUGUUAUUAGAAUCAUAAUUAUGUCACGCGAACGUGUACGCAACUAUGAUCGUAUUUUAGACGUGCCUAAAGCAAACUACGAACAUUUGUCAUUUUUAUAUCUACGUUGUAAAAUUAAUACGAGGGUCAUGUAUGAUUAAAUCGUGGAUGACACACCUCAGACUAUAUAAACUAAAUUUUAAUUAGCAGCCUAUUAAAACAAUUUUAUUAUUAAGAAAGUUUGAUCGAAGUUGCGCGAACGCAUACUCCAAAUUAGUUUGUAAAAUCGUAAUUAUGUCACGUGAACGUGUACACAAUCACAAAAGCACUUAUUAAUCAUUAUCAAGAUUGAUGCGCCUAAUUUAGUCAUUAGAAACAUUUCAAUUCAAUCAUCCACACAAACAUAUAAAAUAGACAACCAAGCAAAGAAGACAGAGAUAAUCCAAAGUAAGUGAAAAUACGAAAGUUACGAGUAAUAAAAUAUGAGAACAUAUGACCAGAACUAACAUGUAUUUUGAAGAAGAAGGAUAUUCUUUUUUUUAAAAACUAAUCACUAUGAAAGAACCUUUAAAAUAUGAUUAAGGAAGAGAAAUGUAGUGCCGGGUAUUCCGUUUUGAGAGCUUUAAACUAUUUGUUAAGAGCAAAUUCACAAUUGAGAAAUAAAACCAAGUUUAACUCCAUGAACGAAACAGACUCCGUGGCACUUUAAUUUGAACUCAAGAUUUCACUUAUUGUCCAUCAACUUUCAAGCAAAGCACAAUUUACUCAUCACGCUUAAUGAGGCCAAAUAAACUUUUUUGAAUACAUUCUUCACAUGGAAUUAGACUAGACAAGUAUAGGAAGGAAUAAAAUCUUACCCAAACACAUGUUCCUAAAUAGUCGAGCAACUGGUUCUCAUCACAACAAUACUACGACAAGAAGGGAUCCAAACAAUUUGAAUAGUAAUUCAUUCGGGAACGAACAAUCAGCAACGAAUUUUAGCACAACCCAACUACGAAUUUAAAAUUGAUUGAUUGAAUUUUAAGAAAAGACAGGAGUAAAAUCUGACCUCAGAUCUGAAAUCCAAUAAGAAAAUUGAAACAAUUUCGAGCAAAGAAUCGCGACCAAGACUCAACAAAGGACCUCGACUCUCCAACGAUGACUGACGUUGACAACUACUGCUGCUGGAAUCUCAGAUUCGAUCCCAAAAUAUAUACAAAUCGAAGACGGCGCCAGCAACCUCGAUGGAUCUCGACCAACAAUCAAUGAGAUAUCACCGAAAAUAAAAACUCACGAACAAAAGAUUGACUGAAUGGCUGAACUUCGUGAAGCUGUUAUUUGGUGGUUAUUUCAGAUGCGUUCAUGGUGUUCAACAACAGCUGAUUGCAGGCUGGAAUUGGAGGAGGUCGUCACCGGCGAGAUGAAGAAGAAGAAAGGGGUCAGCGGAGGCGAUGGCUGGUGUUUGGUCGCUGAUACCCUUCGUUGAAGAAGAUGGGUUCCUUGGUUUUUUGUUGAGGAAGAAGCAGAACAGAUCCUUAAGGGUAUUAGGUUUAGGCUGCUUUUUCCAUGAAGGAGAUGAAACCCAGGGUUUUUGGACUCUCAAGCAGAUGAACGAAAAUCUGAUGGGGAUCGUCCUUUUUUUUCCAAAAACGGCGGAUUGGAUUAUUAGGCAUCUAGGUCUUGAGCUAGCUCUAGGUUUUGGGGUCUAGGUAUUUUAGGCUCAUUUUCUGGUUAUAUAGAAAGUUUUUUAGGUUAAGGGGGUAUGGGUUUUGUAUUAUUGGAUCUUAAAAUUGGGAAAAAGACUAAAAAAAAAAUGGACUACAAGAUUAAAAUGGGAUAAACCAACCCAAAACUAACUCUUCCUUCUAAAUAUAUAAUUUAUAAUAUAAAAUAUAAAACUAAUUUUAAUUAAUUAAACAUAAAUUAUAUUAAAACAUUAAACUAUUUUUGUGUUUUCAAGAUUAUAUAAAAAUAAAAAUAAGGUACUAUUUUUUGUAUUUUUU
rnacentral:lncRNA from 1 species